UACGAGGGGUGCAAGCGUUGCUCGGAAUUAUUGGGCGUAAAGGGUAGGUAGGUGGUCUUAUUUGUCAGGGGUGAAAUCCUUGGGCUUAACUCAAGAAGUGCCCCUGAAACGGUAAGACUAGAAUCUUGGAGAGGUGAGCGGAAUUCCCAGUGUAGCGGUGAAAUGCGUAGAGAUCGGGAGGAACACCAGCGGCGAAGGCGGGUCUCUGGACAGUUCCUGACGCUGAGGCACGAAGGUCAGGGGAGCAAACGGG
rnacentral:rRNA from 1 species